GCAAGUCGAACGGGACUAUAUUGGGGGUAACUCCGAUAUAGUUUAGUGGCAGACGGGUGAGUAACACGUGGGAAACCUGCCUUGGAGAGGGGGAUAACCCCGGGAAACCGGAGCUAAUACCCCAUAAGACCACAAGAGGACAUCCUCUAGCGGUCAAAUAUUCCGAUGCUUCAAGAUGGUCCCGCGCACUAUCAGCUAGUUGGUGAGGUAAUGGCUCACCAAAGCAAUGACGGUUAUCCGGCCUGAAAGGGUGAAC
rnacentral:rRNA from 1 species